AAUCUGCCUUGGAAGCUGUUGGCUUGGAAAAGGCAGACAAGAAGACCGCAGUACAGCCUGACUGAAGUGAGUGAGCAAGUACAGUGCUCAGAAUUCAUGAUUUUAAAUCCCAAGGCAGCUAACAAAAGAGGAGGAAGGUCAGUAUGCUUAUGAUGGCAAACUGCUAUAAAUGGCUCCACCAGGUGCAGGCAUAAGAAACCAAGCAGAAGAAUCUCUCAUCACAAUAUACCCACAAGAUUUCCCCUUGACAGAAAUGUUUCUCUUCUGCAAGAUACAAACCCUAUGUUUCCAAAUAAGUUGUCAUAACAUUCCAUAAAAAGAGAUGUUAUACUGCCACAUUAUCAUUUGUGAGGCUCUUGAUCUUUCAUA